UUACUAUAUUGCCUUCCAGUUUAUCCUAAAGUAUUUUAGCCUAAAUUUCUUGUCAUUUAGAUAGAUGUGGGUUAUGCUAAUCUGACUGGUGGGUUAUGCUAAUCUGACUGGUAAGUAUGGUAUUGUAGCUACUGUACAUGUCCCUCAAUUUCCCAGUUCCAUGUGUCAGGAUGCUAAUAUGGGUGUUACUAUAUUGCCUUCCAUUUUGUAAUAUGUUAUGUUUGCAAUUUCUCAGGGCCGCCGCCGCCGUCGUCCGUAGCAACGCAUAGGCCGCUUGCCCAGCUCCCUCAUUCCGAGCACGACACCGGACGUCGGAGCUUGUCGGGAGGCACGGAAGGACGAACAGAGUUCUACCGGUGAUCUGUGUUGUCGCUGACGGUGUCAUAGGAUCUGCGGUGCACGUGGACAAGGCAAUGGGGCUGCCAACCUACCUCCUCUUCACCACAGCGCAUGUGGAUUCUUGGGCUACCUCAACUUGGAUCAGCUUUUUCAAGAGGGAAUGCUUGCCAUUCAGAGACGGGCGUUUCGCAGAGUGUUCAGAAUAAUACUUUGCAAGGGACAGCAGCGCGAUGUCAAGCAGCAGCAGCAGCAGGUUCUGCAGCUUCGACGACCCUGUGAUGAUUUUUGCAGAACCACAUGCCGAUGGUGCACUUGCCUUUGGAAUUAAAGAUCAGCUUACUACACUAACCAGAUAUCAUAUAUAAAUACUCUACUCUACACCAGUAU